rnacentral:rRNA from 1 species
GACGAACGCUGGCGGCGUGCUUAACACAUGCAAGUCGUACGGUAAGGCCCUUUCGGGGGUACACGAGUGGCGAACGGGUGAGUAACACGUGAGUAACCUGCCCACAACUUUGGGAUAACGCUAGGAAACUGGUGCUAAUACUGGAUAUGUGCUCCUGCUGCAUGGUGGGGGUUGGAAAGCUCCGGCGGUUGUGGAUGGACUCGCGGCCUAUCAGCUUGUUGGUGGGGUAGUGGCCUACCAAGGCGGCGACGGGUAGCCGGCCUGAGAGGGUGACCGGCCACAGUGGGACUGAGAUACGGCCCAGACUCCUACGGGAGGCAGCAGGGGGGAAUAUUGCACAAUGGGCGCAAGCCUGAUGCAGCAACGCCGCGUGCGGGAUGACGGCCUUCGGGUUGUAAACCGCUUUCAGCAGGGACGAAGCUUUUUGUGACGGUACCUGCAGAAGAAGCACCGGCUAACUACGUG